UGCGUAGGCGGAAUAAUAAGUCAGUGGUGAAAUCCUGCGGUUCAACCGUAGAACUGCCAUUGAUACUGUUAUUCUUGAAUUUAGUUGAGGUAGGCGGAAUGUGUAAUGUAGCGGUGAAAUGCUUAGAUAUUACACAGAACACCGAUUGCGAAGGCAGCUUGCUAAACUAAUAUUGACGCUGAUGCACGAAAGCGUGGGGAGCGAACAGGAUUAGAUACCCUGGUAGUCC
rnacentral:rRNA from 1 species